AGCGAACGCUGGCGGCAGGCCUAACACAUGCAAGUCGAACGAAGCCUUCGGGCUUAGUGGCGGACGGGUGAGUAACACGUGGGAACGUACCUUUUGGUUCGGAAUAACGCAGAGAAAUUUGCGCUAAUACCGAAUGAGCCCUUCGGGGGAAAGAUUUAUCGCCGAAAGAUCGGCCCGCGUUGGAUUAGGUAGUUGGUGUGGUAAAGGCGCACCAAGCCUACGAUCCAUAGCUGGUCUGAGAGGAUGAUCAGCCACACUGGGACUGAGACACGGCCCAGACUCCUACGGGAGGCAGCAGUGGGGAAUCUUGCGCAAUGGGCGAAAGCCUGACGCAGCCAUGCCGCGUGAAUGAUGAAGGUCUUAGGAUUGUAAAAUUCUUUUACCAGGGACGAUAAUGACGGUACCUGGAGAAAAAGCCCCGGCUAACUUCGUGCCAGCCGCCGCCGUAACAC
rnacentral:rRNA from 1 species